CUCCAGGAUAGCGGACUCUGUGGAACUGGUUUUGGCUGGAAAGCCAUGCUUCGGUGGUCACAAAGGACUUCAACCUAACUUUUAAACCAAUGGAAGGAAUUGUCUGAUUUUUGAGUAUGUUUGUAUUUAGAGUAUGCUGAUUCUAAAAAUGUGUAUGUGAUGUAUACUUUUGGAGUCAUGAAUAAUUGCGUUAGCCCAUUGUGUUCAGUAAUUAUAUCACAGGCAGAGGGGAGGAUUUUGUGUGGGAGUGUCUGAGUGUAUU